AUCGAAAAAUUGUAGGGUAGACGUAAAUAUCAGCUGUAAAACCUGCCCCCCUUGCGGGGGAUAACACCUAGUAAACAGAUGCUAAUACCGCGAACAACUUGGACCGCAGGGUCCGGGGUUGAAAGAUGAGCUUCGGCUAUCAUUUUUGGAUGGUCCCGCGGCGUAUUAGCUAGAUGUGGGGUAACGGCUCACCAUGGCAAUGAUACGUAGCCGACCUGAGAGGGUAAUCGGCCACAUUGGGACUGAGACACGGCCCAAACUCCUACGGGAGGCAGCAGUAGGGAAUCUUCCACAAUGGACGAAAGUCUGAUGGAGCAACGCCUCGUGAGUGAAGAAGGGUUUCGGCUCGUAAAACUCUGUUGUUAAAGAAGAACAUAUCUGAGAGUAACUGUUCAGGUAUUGACGGUAUUUAACCAGAAAGCCACGGCUAACUACGUGCCAGCAGCCGCGGUAAUACGUAGGUGGCAAGCGUUGUCCGGAUUUAUUGGGCGUAAAGCGAGCGCAGCGGUUUUUUUAAGUCUGAUGUGAAAGCCUUCGGCUCAACCGAAGAAGUGCAUCGGAACUGGGAAACUUGAGUGCAAAGAGGACAGUGGAACUCCAUGUGUAGCGGUGAAAUGCGUAGAUAUAUGGAAAGAACACCAGUGGCGAAGCGGCUGUCUGGUCUGUAACUGACGCUGAGGCUCGAAAGUAUGGGUAGCAAACAUGAUUAGAUACCCUGGUAGUCCAUACCGUAAACGAUGAAUGCUAAGUGUUGAGGGUUUCCGCCCUUCAGUGCUGCAGCUAACGCAUUAAGCAAUUCCGCCUGGGGAGUACGCUCGCAAAGUCUGAAACUCAAGGGAUUGACUGGGGGUCCCGGCACUAGCGUUGAGCAUGGUGCUUUAAUUCUAGCUACGCUGAGAACUACCAGUCCUGACAUACUAUGCAAUCUAGAGAUUAGACGUUCCAUCGGGAACAUGAUACAGGUGUGCAUGGUUG
rnacentral:rRNA from 2 species